GGGUUGUUAGCUCAGUUGGCUAGAGAGCCUCGUUUACACCGAGGAGGUCGGGGGUUCGAGCCCCUAACAACCCACCA
rnacentral:tRNA from 1 species